GGACCCGCACAAGUAGUGGAGCAUGUGGUUUAAUUCGAUGCAACGCGAAGAACCUUACCAGGGUUUGACAUCCUGCGAAUCUCUUGGAAACGAGAGAGUGCCUUCGGGAACGCAGUGACAGGUGGUGCAUGGCUGUCGUCAGCUCGUGUCGUGAGAUGUUGGGUUAAGUCCCGCAACGAGCGCAACCCACGUCGUUAGUUGCCAGCAUUUAGUUGGGCACUCUAGCGAGACCGCCGGUGAUAAACCGGAGGAAGGUGUGGAUGACGUCAAGUCAUCCAUGCCCCUUACAUCCUGGGCUACACACGUACUACAAUGCUACGGACAAAGGGCAGCAAACUCGCGAGAGCUAGCAAAUCCCAUAAACCGUGGCUCAGUUCAGAUCGUAGGCUGCAACUCGCCUACGUGAAGGAGGAAUCGCUAG
rnacentral:rRNA from 1 species